GGUUCAUGGCUCAGUGGUAGAGUGCUUGCCUGGCACCUGCAAGAAACUGGGUUAGAUUCUCAGCACCG
rnacentral:tRNA from 1 species